UACGUAGGGGGCAAACGUUGUCCGGAUUUACUGGGUGUAAAGGGUGCUCAGGCGGUCUUGUAAGUUAGAAGUGAAAUCCUAGGGCUCAACUCUGGAACUGCUUUUAAUACUGCAAGGCUUGAAUAUGGAAGGGGAGGGUGGAAUUUCUGGUGUAGCAGUGAAAUGCGUAGAUAUCAGAAAGAACACCAGUGGCGAAGGCGGCCCUCUGGUCCAUUAUUGACGCUAAAGCACGAAAGCGUGGGGAGCAAACAGG
rnacentral:rRNA from 1 species